UACCGGCAGCUCGAGUGAUGGCCGAUUUUAUUGGGCCUAAAGCGUCCGUAGCUGGCCCUGCAAGUCCAUCGGGAAAUCCACUCGCCUAACGGGUGGACGUCCGGCGGAAACUACAGGGCUUGGGGCCGGAAGACUUGAGGGGUACUUCGGGGGUAGGGGUGAAAUCCUGUAAUCCUGGAAGGACCGCCGAUGGCGAAAGCACCUCAAGACGACGGAUCCGACAGUGAGGGAAGAAAGCUAGGGUCUCGAACCGG
rnacentral:rRNA from 1 species